AUUGAACGCUGGCGGCAUGCUUUACACAUGCAAGUCGAACGGUAACAGGUUAAGCUGACGAGUGGCGAACGGGUGAGUAAUGCAUCGGAACGUGCCCGAUCGUGGGGGAUAACGCAGCGAAAGCUGCGCUAAUACCGCAUACGAUCUGAGGAUGAAAGCGGGGGACCGUAAGGCCUCGCGCGAUCGGAGCGGCCGAUGUCAGAUUAGGUAGUUGGUGGGGUAAAGGCUCACCAAGCCAACGAUCUGUAGCUGGUCUGAGAGGACGACCAGCCACACUGGGACUGAGAAACGGCCCAGACUCCUACGGGAGGCAGCAGUGGGGAAUUUUGGACAAUGGGCGAAAGCCUGAUCCAGCAAUGCCGCGUGCAGGAAGAAGGCCUUCGGGUUGUAAACUGCUUUUGUACGGAGCGAAAAGGUCCCCUCUAAUACAGGGGGCUCAUGACGGUACCGUAAGAAUAAGCACCGGCUAACUACGUGCCAGCAGCCGCGGUAAGAC
rnacentral:rRNA from 1 species